GAUGAACGCUGGCGGCGUGCCUAAUACAUGCAAGUCGAGCGAACAGACGAGGAGCUUGCUCCUCUGACGUUAGCGGCGGACGGGUGAGUAACACGUGGAUAACCUACCUAUAAGACUGGGAUAACUUCGGGAAACCGGAGCUAAUACCGGAUAAUAUAUUGAACCGCAUGGUUCAAUAGUGAAAGACGGUUUUGCUGUCACUUAUAGAUGGAUCCGCGCCGCAUUAGCUAGUUGGUAAGGUAACGGCUUACCAAGGCGACGAUGCGUAGCCGACCUGAGAGGGUGAUCGGCCAAACUGGAACUGAGACACGGUCCAGAGUCCUACGGGAGGCAGCAGUAGGGAAUCUUCCGCAAUGGGCGAAAGCCUGACGGAGCAACGCCGCGUGAGUGAUGAAGGUCUUCGGAUCGUAAAACUCUGUUAUUAGGGAAGAACAAAUGUGUAAGUAACUAUGCACGUCUUGACGGUACCUAAUCAGAAAGCCACGGCUAACUACGUG
rnacentral:rRNA from 1 species